GAGGAGACGGUGACCAGGGUUCCCUGGCCCCAGUAGUCAAAGUAAUGUGGUUUCUCACACUGUGUCUCUCGCACAGUAAUACACGGCCGUGUCCUCAGAUCUCAGGCUGCUCAGCUCCAUGUAGACUGUGCUCGUGGACGUGUCCCUGGUCAUGGUGACUCUGCCCUGGAACUUCUGUGCGUAGCUUGUGCUACCACCACUAGGGUUGAUUAUUCCCAUCCACUCAAGCCCUUGUCCAGGGGCCUGUCGCACCCAGUGCAUAUAGUAGCUGGUGAAGGUGUAUCCAGAUGCCUUGCAGGAAACCUUCACUGAGGCCCCAGGCUUCUUCACCUCAGCCCCAGACUGCACCAGCUGCACCUGGGAGUG
rnacentral:lncRNA from 1 species